AGCCGCAGCCCCGAGCCCGGUCGCCUCACUUGGCGGACGUGAGGCCUGUAGUAAAGAGUAAAGCCUGAGGUAGAUUACCCCUCCCAUCGAGCACGUUAGUUUCCUGCUUACCGCGUAAGCAACCCGCUCAACAAUAUAGUCUGCCUGGCAACUGAUGAUGUUAGCCAAUCAGCUUGCCUUGCUCACUUUAACAUGAUUGGACACUGUAUCCGUAUAUAUACUGGUGCCACCCCUGGGGGGGAAGAAGAAGCCCGGAAGUAGAAGCCCAAAAGGAGCCGCGGGGAGCGGACCAAAGGAGGCUUCGGCUGGGAGCGAUCCCAGGGCAGGCUGUACGGAGAAGGAAAAUAAAAGAAAAGGUUGUCCACUGCCAGACUUUGUCGUGUGUCCUUCCUGCCGGCCAGGAGCGACAUCGACAUUUGGUGGCCCGUACGGGGACUGAUCACCCCCGAGACGUGACAGCGGACAACGCUCCAGUACAGAGCUGCGAGACAGGAAUCGGGACGAGAACCACUGUGGGUACCGGAGAGACUGACACGGGCGACAAAGCCCUCGACUAAAGAUCAGACCUGCCCUACCGGAGAUCCAUCACAGACCAACCAACAAGAUGAAUAGAAAUAGCGGUAGCCCGAAAUGGACAAGAAGAUCCUCAGGCAUAUACAUGGCUCGCUCGCCUAGCCUACGACCGAGUCUAGGGGUGGUGAGCUUCCCACACUCCUCCUCUAAAAAAUUAUGACAUAGCUGGGUAGGAGAGUCAAUGACGGGUAAGAGCGUACUCCCCCGGUGCGACUCAACCUAAGCCAGGCCCUACCCCAUCCUGCACGUAAGCCGCUGGACUGUUAGAUGCUGCCCAGGUCUAAAUUUCUCUCCGAGGGGAUUUCUUUACAGAGAGGAAAUGAGUGCAAGCUUGUGUGCAUCCAGGUUCCGUCCAGUUUGUGCCUGGCCCUAGAAAAAGGACGAGGGCCUCAGGGCCUUGGCAGACCAUGGGACGGCCGACCAGGGUCUAAGCCAAGGACCUACGGUGGGCCUACGCAUAGGGCAUAAGCCUCUGCACCCAGUCCAAAAAGGGCUACGAUGCGCACAUUCAUAAAAAAUAAAAAAGGGGGAGAUGUUGGGAGCCGCAGCCCCGAGCCCGGUCGCCUCACUUGGCGGACGUGAGGCCUGUAGUAAAGAGUAAAGCCUGAGGUAGAUUACCCCUCCCAUCGAGCACGUUAGUUUCCUGCUUACCGCGUAAGCAACCCGCUCAACAAUAUAGUCUGCCUGGCAACUGAUGAUGUUAGCCAAUCAGCUUGCCUUGCUCACUUUAACAUGAUUGGACACUGUAUCCGUAUAUAUACUGGUGCCACCCCUGGGGGGGAAGAAGAAGCCCGGAAGUAGAAGCCCAAAAGGAGCCGCGGGGAGCGGACCAAAGGAGGCUUCGGCUGGGAGCGAUCCCAGGGCAGGCUGUACGGAGAAGGAAAAUAAAAGAAAAGGUUGUCCACUGCCA